ACGGGAGGCAGCAGUAGGGAAUAUUGCACAAUGGGGGAAACCCUGAUGCAGCAACGCCACGUGUGGGAAGAAGCAUUUCGGUGUGUAAACCACUGUCGUGAAGGAAUAAUGCUGGACCUCGGUCCAGUUGAAUGUACUUUGAAAGGAAGCACCGGCGAACUGCGUGCCAGCAGCAGCGGUAAUACGAGGGGUGCAAGCGUUGUUCGGAAUCACUGGGCGUAAAGGGAGCGCAGGCGGAGAUGCAAGCAGUCUGUACAAUACCCGGGCCCAACCCUGGCCUGCAGUCUAGACUGUUUCUCUUGGAUAGCUCAGGGGCUGGCGGAAUUCCUGGUGUAGCGGUGGAAUGCGUAGAGAUCAGGAAGAACACCGAUGGCGAAGGCAGCCAGCUGGGGUCUUAUCGACGCUCAUGCUCGAAAGUGCGGGUAGCAAACAGGAUUAGAUACCCUGGUA
rnacentral:rRNA from 1 species